GAAUGUAAAGUUUGUGCCAUUUUUAGGUUUUCAUUAUCAGUUUUCUGUGAGAAGCAGAGUAAUCCCUCAGGUCCUUCCUCUCUGUAUAUAAAUACCAUUCUGUUUGGUAACUGGUCAGAGAGGUUCUGAGGUUGUGCCUCUUAAGCUUUUCUUGGAGUUCAUGUUCAACCAAAGGGGUAAAAAAUUAGGCAAAGCAAUGAGUUUGCCUUAUUUCUAAGCUCUGGGUCCUUAGAAUACAGUCUUUGUGGCACAUGACAAAUCUCCAUGUUUGACUGUGGGACCCAGGCUUGGCCAAGCUAAAUGCCACUGCUCUGGCUAUAGCAAGAGGUUUAGGGAUGGAUCCCUGACUCAAAUAAUCCAAAGAGUUUUAUUAGGAUUUUACUCUCUUAUAGAUAUCAGGAAGGAGAUACCUCCUUUGGGCAAGGUUCCCUAGCUGAAAGAUGGCAUAUUUCUAGAAAUAUGAGCGGCCAUCACUAUCCUGUGAGGACAACCUGCGCUGAGAAGCAAACCAACAGAGAGGAAAGCAGAACUGAGAUAAGGGCAGAGAAAGGGACACUUUCUGGCCUGUGACAGAAAGAAGCCCUGCAGUGGAGAGCCCAGGAGAUCCUGGGAGAGUCUCGCUGGAAUUAGUAGAUGCCAACAGAAGCAGAAAGGUGUGGUUUCCACAACUUGAAAUCACUUUGGUCAGGUAACAUUCAAGAUCACAGUGUGAGGAAACUCAGAUAAUGAGCUGGAGAUGUUACAGAUAUCUUUCUCCAUCACCUCUUCUGCUCAGUGUUUAUUAGUAGCCAAGCUGGGGGAGGGGGAGGCAAAAAUUAAAUAGCAGAAAAUGAUGUCUUUCGACUGACUCUCUUUUUUUCCUUUCAGAAUUGUUCUGGGAGAUGAGUUGGGAAAUAGAUCAUCAAUGGGCUAUUGGCUAGAAAGAAGAGAGAGAGAGUCUGCCUAAAUCAUCCAAGUGUCUGAUAGGAAUUCAAACCACAUUCUAUCAUCAGAUUAGGAAGGUUAUAUUAAAA